GACGAACGCUGGCGGCGUGCUUAACACAUGCAAGUCGAGCGGAGCGGCGAACGGGUGAGUAACGCGUGAGUAACUUCCCCCCUCUCUGGGAUAACAGUUGGAAACGGCUGCUAAUACCGGCUAGUGGGGGCUGACUCGCGGCCUAUCAGCUUGUGGGUGGGGUAGUGGCCUACCAAGGCGACGACGGGGAGCCGGCAUGAGAGGGCGACCGGCCAGAUUUGGCUGAGAUACAGCCCAAACUCCGACGGGAGGCAGUAGUGGGGAAGAUUGCACAAUGGGGGAAACCCUGAUGCAGCAACGGCGCGUGCGGGAGGACGGCCUUCUGGUUGUAAACCGCUUUCAGCCAUGACGCGGUAGUGGCAGAAGAAGCACCGGCUAAAUACGUGCCAGCAGCCGCGGUAAUUC
rnacentral:rRNA from 1 species